GACGAACGCUGGCGGCGUGCCUAAUACAUGCAAGUCGAGCGCAGGAAAUCGACGGAACCCUUCGGGGGGAAGUCGACGGAAUGAGCGGCGGACGGGUGAGUAACACGUAAAGAACCUGCCCUCAGGUCUGGGAUAACCACGAGAAAUCGGGGCUAAUACCGGAUGGGCCAUCGGACCGCAUGGUCCGAGGAUGAAAGGCGCUCCGGCGUCGCCUGGGGAUGGCUUUGCGGUGCAUUAGCUAGUUGGUGGGGUAAUGGCCCACCAAGGCGACGAUACAUAGCCGACCUGAGAGGGUGAGCGGCCUCACUGGGACUGAGACGCGGCCCAGACUCCUACGGGAGGCAGCAGUAGGGAAUCUUCCACAAGGGACGAAAGUCUGAUGGAGCAACGCCGCGUGAACGAUGAAGGCCUUCGGGUCGUAAAGUUCUGUUGUAAGGGAAGAACAAGUGCCGCAGGCAAUGGCGGCACCUUGACGGUACCUUGCGAGAAAGCCACGGCUAACUACGUGCCAGCAGCCGCGGUAAUAC
rnacentral:rRNA from 1 species